UACGGGGGGGGCAAGCGUUGUUCGGAAUUACUGGGCGUAAAGGGCUCGUAGGCGGCCAACUAAGUCGGAUGUGAAAUCCCCAGGCUCAACCUGGGAACUGCAUCCGAUACUGGAGGGCUUGAAUCCGGGAGAGGGAUGCGGAAUUCCAGGUGUAGCGGUGAAAUGCGUAGAUAUCUGGAGGAACACCGGUGGCGAAGGCGGCAUCCUGGACCGGCAUUGACGCUGAGGCGCGAAAGCGUGGGUAGCAAACAGG
rnacentral:rRNA from 1 species